rnacentral:rRNA from 1 species
CAGUCGAACGGAUGCAAGGGGCUUGCUCCUUGCAUUAGUGGCGGACGGGUGAGUAACGCGUGAGCAAUCUGCCCAUAUCAGGGGGAUAACAGUUAGAAAUGACUGCUAAUACCGCAUAUGACCACGAAAAGGCAUCUUUUUGAGGUGAAAGAUUUAUCGGAUAUGGAUGAGCUCGCGUCCCAUUAGGCAGUUGGUGAGGUAACGGCCCACCAAACCUACGAUGGGUAGCCGACCUUAGAGGGUGAUCGGCCACAUUGGGACUGAGACACGGCCCAGACUCCUGCGGGAGGCAGCAGUGGGGAAUAUUGGGCAAUGGAGGCAACUCUGACCCAGCAACGCCGCGUGAGCGAUGAAGGUCUUCGGAUUGUAAAGCUCUUUAAGCGGGGACGAAGAAAGUGACUGUACCCGCAGAGUAAGCCUCGGCUAACUACGUGCCAGCAGCCGCGGUAAUACGUAGGAGGCAAGCGUUAUCCGGAAUGACUGGGCGUAAAGGGUGCGUAGGUGGUUUGGCAAGUUGGUAGCGUAAUCCCGGGGCUCAACCUCGGUGCUACUACCAAAACUGUUGAACUUGAGUGCAGGAGGGGUGAAUGGAAUUCCCAGUGUAGCGGUGGAAUGCGUAGAUAUUGGGAAGAACACCAGCGGCGAAGGCGAUUCACUGGACUGUAACUGACGCUGAAGCACGAAAGCGUGGGUAUCGAACAGGAUUAGAUACCCUGGUAGUCCACGCAGUAAACGAUGAAUGCUAAUUGUCCGGAGGGAUUGACCUCUGGGUGAUACAGCGAAA